GACGAACGCUGGCGGCGUGCUUAACACAUGCAAGUCGAACGGAAAGGCUCUGCCUUUGCUGGGUGCUCGAGUGGCGAACGGGUGCGUAACACGUGAGUAACCUUCCCUUGCCUUUGUGAUAACUUCAGGAAACUGUGGCUAAUACCGGCUAGGAGCUCCUGCUGCUUGGUGUUGGUUGGAAAGUUGCGGCGGUUGGGGAUGGACGCGCGGCCUAUCAGCCUUUCGGUGGGGUAGCUGCUUACCAAGGUGUCGACGGGUCGCCGGCCUGAGAGGGUGACCGGGCACAGUGGGACUGGGGUAGGGGCCAGAGUGCUACGGGGGGCAGCGGUGGGAGAUAUUGCGCGAUGGGCGGAAGCAGGAUGGAGCGACGCCGCGUGCGGAAGGACGGCCUUCGGGGUGGAAAGCGCUUGCGACUGGAACGAAGAGUGAGUGACGGUAAUGGAUAAAGAAGCGCCGGCUAACUACGUG
rnacentral:rRNA from 1 species